UGGCUCAGUGGUAGAGUGCUUGCCUCUCAAGCAUGAGGUCCUGAGUUCAAUUCCUCAG
rnacentral:tRNA from 1 species